GACGAACCGUGCGAACGUUGUUCGGAAUCACUGGGCUUAAAGGGCGCGUAGGCGGGCCGCCAAGUCAGGGGUGAAAGCCUCCAGCUCAACUGGAGAAGUGCCUCUGAUACUGGCGGCCUCGAGGGAGAUAGGGGCGUGCGGAACUUCCGGUGGAGCGGUGAAAUGCGUAGAUAUCGGAAGGAACACCGGUGGCGAAAGCGGCGCGCUGGAGCUCUUCUGACGCUGAGGCGCGAAAGCCAGGGGAGCGAACGGG
rnacentral:rRNA from 1 species